AAGGCAAAAGUCAGAAGAAGAAGAAACAGAAGAAGGAGAAAGCUCCGAUCGAAUCAAGUCGGCCACCAUCCAAUAAGCAAGCUUCGCCUCGACAACAGAGUCCAAGACCGAGUUACGACAGGUAUGACUCCUAUACUCCUCUUUUCGCUCCUCGUGUGCAGAUUCUUAUGGAGAUCGAUGGAGCGAAAUAUCUACGACACCUCCCACCAAUGAAAGCGUUACCGAGGAACCA
rnacentral:lncRNA from 1 species